AGCGAACGCUGGCGGCAGGCCUAACACAUGCAAGUCGAACGAACUCUUCGGAGUUAGUGGCGGACGGGUGAGUAACCCGUGGGAACGUGCCCUUUGGUUCGGAAUAACUCAGGGAAACUUGUGCUAAUACCGAAUGUGCCCUUCGGGGGAAAGAUUUAUCGCAAUUAGAGCGGCCCGCGUCUGAUUCGCUAGUUGGUGAGGUAACGGCUCACCAAGGCGACGAUCAGUAGCUGGUCUGAGAGGAUGACCAGCCACACUUGGACUGAGACACGGCCCAGACUCCUACGGGAGGCAGGAGUGGGGAACCUUGCGCAAUGGGCGAAAGCCUGACGCAGCCCGGCCGGGUGAAUGAUGAAGGUCUUAGGAUUGUAAAAUUCUUUCACCGGGGACGAUAAUGACGGUACCCGGAGAAGAAGCCCCGGCUAACUUCGUG
rnacentral:rRNA from 1 species